rnacentral:lncRNA from 1 species
AUAAAAGAAUAUUGUCAUAUAGGAAUGGGAGGCAAAAGGAUAUAUAUAUGCUAUCGCAUGAUUGUGUACACAGAGCAGUUCUAGGACUAUCUUGUGCAGUUGUGGAGGGGGGAGCCGUGAAAGAAUCCCCAUCUGCCCAACUUAUUAGCUUCAACUGCAGAGUCCAAAACAAUCUUGCUCCAAUCCCAUUCUACCCCUGUCGAUCUAAGCCAGUGCUGUGGGUACCAGUAGGGUCGCUGCGCUUCUGGUGAGUGGGUUGUGAUGUGGUUCCUAUAUAUACAGGACUAAAAGAAUCAGAGUG